UUGCUGUGAUGACAGUCUUAGGACACCUUUGGAUUAACCAUGAAAAGAAAAAUCCUCUGAGCAAC